AUCAAUUUUAGCAUAGGUUACUGCUGCAGCAUUAUGCAUAAAGCAAUCUUUAGCUUCUUCACAUACCACAGUUUUUCUUCAGCUUUUCCCUUAUUUACGGCUGUUUUAACCUCUACAAUAUGAGGAUCUUCUCAAGAUUGCUCCUCUGCCAGUUCUCUGAGGCCAAAACUGCUUUUCCUCACUUUCCAUACACACUUGUUGUAGCCAGCAGCUCCCUGCCAGCCAAUCAAAUUGGAUUACUGAGAGACACGCCUCCUCACUCUGAAGCCUAAUGCAGGCAUGCAGUGUGAAGGACCGCCCCUCUGUCUUCUAAUGCUACUUUCACACU